UGUUGGAUUCCAGGACAUAGAAU
rnacentral:piRNA from 1 species